AGCCCAGAGCCUGAAUCAGUGUGUGUAUUAGUGGAAGCGUCUGGAAAGGCGCGCGAUACAGGGUGACAGCCCCGUACACAAAAAUGCACAUGCUGUGAGCUCGAUGAGUAGGGCGGGACACGUGGUAUCCUGUCUGAAUAUGGGGGGACCAUCCUCCAAGGCUAAAUACUCCUGACUGACCGAUAGUGAACCAGUACCGUGAGGGAAAGGCGAAAAGAACCCCGGCGAGGGGAGUGAAAAAGAACCUGAAACCGUGUACGUACAAGCAGUGGGAGCCUCUUUAUGGGGUGACUGCGUACCUUUUGUAUAAUGGGUCAGCGACUUAUAUUCUGUAGCAAGGUUAACCGAAUAGGGGAGCCGAAGGGAAACCGAGUCUUAACUGGGCGUUAAGUUGCAGGGUAUAGACCCGAAACCCGGUGAUCUAGCCAUGGGCAGGUUGAAGGUUGGGUAACACUAACUGGAGGACCGAACCGACUAAUGUUGAAAAAUUAGCGGAUGACUUGUGGCUGGGGGUGAAAGGCCAAUCAAACCGGGAGAUAGCUGGUUCUCCCCGAAAGCUAUUUAGGUAGCGCCUCGUGAAUUCAUCUCCGGGGGUAGAGCACUGUUUCGGCAAGGGGGUCAUCCCGACUUACCAACCCGAUGCAAACUGCGAAUACCGGAGAAUGUUAUCACGGGAGACACACGGCGGGUGCUAACGUCCGUCGUGAAGAGGGAAACAACCCAGACCGCCAGCUAAGGUCCCAAAGUCAUGGUUAAGUGGGAAACGAUGUGGGAAGGCCCAGACAGCCAGGAUGUUGGCUUAGAAGCAGCCAUCAUUUAAAGAAAGCGUAAUAGCUCACUGGUCGAGUCGGCCUGCGCGGAAGAUGUAACGGGGCUAAACCAUGCACCGAAGCUGCGGCAGCGACGCUUAUGCGUUGUUGGGUAGGGGAGCGUUCUGUAAGCCUGCGAAGGUGUGCUGUGAGGCAUGCUGGAGGUAUCAGAAGUGCGAAUGCUGACAUAAGUAACGAUAAAGCGGGUGAAAAGCCCGCUCGCCGGAAGACCAAGGGUUCCUGUCCAACGUUAAUCGGGGCAGGGUGAGUCGACCCCUAAGGCGAGGCCGAAAGGCGUAGUCGAUGGGAAACAGGUUAAUAUUCCUGUACUUGGUGUUACUGCGAAGGGGGGACGGAGAAGGCUAUGUUGGCCGGGCGACGGUUGUCCCGGUUUAAGCGUGUAGGCUGGUUUUCCAGGCAAAUCCGGAAAAUCAAGGCUGAGGCGUGAUGACGAGGCACUACGGUGCUGAAGCAACAAAUGCCCUGCUUCCAGGAAAAGCCUCUAAGCAUCAGGUAACAUCAAAUCGUACCCCAAACCGACACAGGUGGUCAGGUAGAGAAUACCAAGGCGCUUGAGAGAACUCGGGUGAAGGAACUAGGCAAAAUGGUGCCGUAACUUCGGGAGAAGGCACGCUGAUAUGUAGGUGAAGCGACUUGCUCGUGGAGCUGAAAUCAGUCGAAGAUACCAGCUGGCUGCAACUGUUUAUUAAAAACACAGCACUGUGCAAACACGAAAGUGGACGUAUACGGUGUGACGCCUGCCCGGUGCCGGAAGGUUAAUUGAUGGGGUUAGCGGUAACGCGAAGCUCUUGAUCGAAGCCCCGGUAAACGGCGGCCGUAACUAUAACGGUCCUAAGGUAGCGAAAUUCCUUGUCGGGUAAGUUCCGACCUGCACGAAUGGCGUAAUGAUGGCCAGGCUGUCUCCACCCGAGACUCAGUGAAAUUGAACUCGCUGUGAAGAUGCAGUGUACCCGCGGCAAGACGGAAAGACCCCGUGAACCUUUACUAUAGCUUGACACUGAACAUUGAGCCUUGAUGUGUAGGAUAGGUGGGAGGCUUUGAAGUGUGG
rnacentral:rRNA from 1 species